AACCGGUGUCAGGAACUCUGGAUGGCAGAGUUAAGAGGGCAGCCAGCAGCAUGAUGACCUCAGCACAGAGCAAGCUUAAUGAUGAUUGAAGGAUUUAAAAGAAGUUAUGUUGGAAUACAUAAAAGUAUAUACGCAUACAAAGACAUCACCAUUGAUGACUACCUUGGGGAAGAGAAAGCUUUCACUCAUUACCGUGGAAAGCCCUGCAAGAUGUGUGAUGGCCUCCCUACAAAAGUGUCAUUGUAAGCAACACACCUCUGUACAGGAGGGGAGAGUUUGCUUUUGGAACAGUUAUUGACAAUUGGCCAUUUUCUUUUUGGCUGAAGGGAGUACCUAAUUAUGGAAUGAUUGUUGUUUGAUAAAAAUGUUAUUGUAUUGGAACAGUCAGCAACUCUUACUGUCACUUGAGCAGCCAAUUGCUGUUCCCUGUGAUGCUGUGGUCAACUUCUAUGGGUAGAAGAUGAGCGAGUCCCACAGCCAUGUGUUAAUGAAGCUAUCAUUUAUUUUUAAUGAAAAAAAACUGGGUUUGGCCUCACAUUGAAUGAGUUUCUUUUGGUCACAAACUGAUUUCCACAAAAGGUAAAUUCAGUAUUUACAUAAAAAUGACAUUUUAAAACAUUGGUUUCUUGUUCAACAUCUUUAGU
rnacentral:sRNA from 1 species